rnacentral:rRNA from 1 species
AUUCCAGCUCCAAUAGCGUAUAUUAAAGUUGUUGCAGUUAAAAAGCUCGUAGUUGGAUUUCUGGCAGGAGUGACUGACCACAAACCCUGUUUGUGAGUUGUGUCAUUCUGGCCAUCCUUGGUAAGAUCCUUUUUGGCAUUAAGUUGUCGGGAAGGGGAUGACCAUCGUUUACUGUGAAAAAAUUAGAGUGUUUAAAGCAGGCUUAUGCCGUUGAAUAUAUUAGCAUGGAAUAAUAAGAUAGGACUUUGAGUCUAUUUUGUUGGUUUGCGAGUCAAAGUAAUGAUUAAUAGGGACAGUUGGGGGUAUUCGUAUUUCAUUGUCAGAGGUGAAAUUCUUGGAUUUCUGAAAGACGAACUACUGCGAAAGCAUUUACCAAGGAUGUUUUCAUCG